rnacentral:sRNA from 1 species
GGCAGACAAAGCCUGUAGGAAGUGAGUGGCCUUCUCCAAGCCAAGCCCCAAGGGAUGACAGAGCCAUAAGACAGAAGGGGUCCGGGCCUUUGAUGGAGAACCUCCUACUGACGUUCCAGGUGGCACAACGGUGCUGGUGGAGCUGACUCCCGACAUCCAUAUCUGCGGCAUCUGCAAGCAGCAGUUUAACAACCUGGAUGCCUUUGUAGCUCACAAGCAAAGUGGCUGCCAGCUGACAGGCACGUCCGCAGCAGCCCCCAGCACGGUCCAGUUUGUGUCGGAGGAAACAGUGCCUGCCACCCAGACUCAGACCACCACCAGAACCAUCACCUCGGAGACCCAGACAAUCACAGUUUCAGCUCCAGAAUUUGUUUUUGAACAUGGCUAUCAAACUUACCUGCCCACGGAAAGUAAUGAAAACCAGACAGCCACUGUCAUCUCUCUCCCUGCCAAGUCACGCACCAAAAAGCCCACAACACCACCUGCUCAGAAAAGGCUUAACUGUUGCUAUCCAGGUUGCCAAUUCAAGACUGCUUAUGGCAUGAAGGACAUGGAGCGACAUUUAAAAAUUCACACGGGAGACAAACCCCAUAAGUGUGAAGUCUGUGGCAAGUGCUUUAGCCGGAAAGACAAGCUGAAAACUCACAUGCGGUGCCACACGGGCGUGAAGCCCUACAAGUGUAAGACGUGUG